AGGGAAACUGCCACUUUGAAGCCGUCAGAUCUUGUGAGAACUCCUUCACUGUCACGAGAAUAGCAUCGGGGAAACCGCCUCCAUGAACCAAUCACCUCCCACCAGGGGAUUAUAGAAAUUUAAUUUAAG